UGAGCGAAAGGCUGAGGACCGGGUCCGGGCCGGGUUCCUGGUCGGGGAGCGGCUCCGGGCGGCAGCCAUGAGGCGGGACGUGCGCAUCCUGUUACUGGGCGAGGGUAGGCGCCGGCCCGGGGGUCUCGGAGCUGCGGCGGCCGGGACGCGGGGUGAGGGUCUCGCGGGUCGGGGGGCGCCGUGACCUUGGCCCUCGUGCUGACCGCCCCGCCCCGCGCAGCCCAGGUGGGGAAGACGUCGCUGAUCCUGUCCCUGGUGGGCGAGGAGUUCCCCGAGGAGGUAAAGGGCACGCCCGCCGCGGGGGUGGGAGCGGGCCCAGCCGGGGGUCCCUGGUGAGCGCGCGGGUCCCUUGCAGGUCCCUCCCCGCGCGGAGGAGAUCACGAUCCCCGCGGACGUCACCCCGGAGAAGGUGCCCACCCACAUCGUGGACUACUCAGAAGCCGAGCAGACGGACGAGGAGCUGCGCGAGGAGAUCCACAAGGUACCCGUGGUGCGCGGGACGAGGGAGGGGCUGGGCGCGGGCUCGGCCUAAUCCGCUUCGCCGGCUGGGGGAUUGGACCGAGGUGCUCAGGGUGUCCUUGGCCCUGAUAAUUGUGUGACCUCCGCACUGAGGGUUGUUGGGGCCCCCCCAGCGCACCCCGCUGGGAGCCGGCACCGCUCAGU
rnacentral:sRNA from 1 species